rnacentral:misc_RNA from 1 species
GAUUGAGACUUUACCGCCAUG